rnacentral:rRNA from 1 species
UACGUAGGGUGCGAGCGUUGUCCGGAAUUAUUGGGCGUAAAGAGCUCGUAGGCGGUGUGUCGCGUCGGCCGUGAAAACCUGGGGCUCAACUCUGGGCGUGCGGUCGAUACGGGCAUCACUUGAGUUCGGCAGGGGAGACUGGAAUUCCUGGUGUAGCGGUGAAAUGCGCAGAUAUCAGGGAGGGAACACCCGGUGGGCGGAAAGGCGGGGUCUCUGGGCCGAUACUGACGCUGGAGGAGCGGAAAGCAUGGGUAGCGAACAGG